rnacentral:rRNA from 1 species
CGCAGAUGAUAGCGCCAGCGCAGAGCGCGCCGAUUGCCGUGCCGACAAGCAGGCGGGGACGCUCGAUGAGGCAACCGUAGAACGCGGGCUCGGUUACGCCACAGAGUGCGGUGACGGCAACCGUGGUGACCAUACCCCUCUUCUCUUUGUUUCCCUUCAUGGCAGUUGCCAGGGCGAGGCUCGUGCCGCCAAUGCAGAGGUUCGAGAUGAAUCCAAAGAUAAUGGGUGCCCAACCGAGCUGCGCCAGGCUCGUAACUUCGAUUGCGAUGUAAGCCUUAUCGAGACCGAGCAUGACGAAAUAGGGGUUAAGGGCUGCCAGGAUCGGAGUGGCGAUAAAUGCCACGUUGUCCAUAAGCCACGUGACGGCAUCGCUCAGCGCGUAGCCCAUCAUGCUGCCGGCGGGGCCAAGGAUAAUCAGCUCGACGGGCACGACGAUGAUCAUGGUGAGCAGCGGCUUCAAGAACAGUUUGGUAACGUCGGGAAUGAUUUUCUGAAGACCGCGAUCGACGAAGUACAUGAACACGACGCCCAGUACGAUUGGCACCACCGUGCUCGAGUAGUCAUUCGUCGGGAUGGGGAUGCCAAGAAAGUCGAGACCCUCAGCACCGCUAAUGGACGAGCUGAUCAUGAUCGCGCCCAGCAAUGCGCCCAUGAUGGGCUGCAUCUUCAUGACGGCUGCGAGCUGAUAACCAAGAUAAACGGGCAAGAAGCUAAACGAAGCGCUAAAGAUCGCCAACAGGACCUGGGCGGUUCCGCUAUCGGUGCUCAAUCCGCAAUAAUUGACCAGGAGAUUCUUGAUCGAAAGAAUGAGUCCGCCAACGAUGAGCGCCGGGACGAUGGGCAUGAAUACCUGUGCAGAGACGUUCCCGAAUUUCUCAAUCAAGCCCAUGGCGGUGUUACCGCUUUUAAUGCCUUCUGCAAGGUCUUUGGCGGUUUGGGCAUCGUCGGCAACCGUGCCACCGCCGACUUCGAUUCCCGCGAAGUCGAGGAAGUCGUUGUAAGCCUCGGUGACGUUGGGGCCGAUGAUCACCUGAAGCUGGCCACCGCUGACUACUGCCCCGAGCGCCUGAUCGGCCGAUUUGGCGAGCUGGAGAUCGAUGAUCGAGGUGUCUCGUGCGUCGAUGCGAAGGCGCGUCGCACAAUGAGUUACCGAUGUAAUGUUCUCUUUGCCGCCAACAGCCUUUAGGACUGUUUCGGACAUUGCCUGAUAUUUCAUCUCUUUCUCCUAACCUUCCUGCUCCUGAUACUUCGAGAUAAGGUCUCGGUACCAAUACCAGCUCUUUUUGGGGGUGCGCUCCAGAUUGUUUUCGAAGUCGAUAUGGACAAGUCCGUAUCGUUUUUCGUAGCCGUUGAUCCAGCUAUACAGAUCCAUCGUCGACCAGAGGUAGUAGCCCUCAACGCGCGCGCCGUCGCGCUUGGCCCUCAUCAUGUGCUCGAUGAACUGGCCCAGAAGCUCGAUGCGGUCAUCAUCGUGGACCAUUCCGUCUGCGUCUGGUUGCUCAUAGGCGCCAUGUCCGUUUUCCGUAAUAUGGCGGCCGCCCCCAUGCACAGAUCCGGAGGCGCCAGCCCCCGGGGAGCCGCCCUUGGAAUACUGCCCUCGCGCGACCGGCGUCCUAACCCGAGGCCGUCAACCGGCUCGGGGACCGUGCCAGGCGGGCAGUUUGACUGGGGCGGUCGCCUCCUAAAGGGUAACGGAGGCGCGCGAAGGUCCGCUCGGGACGGUCGGCAACCGUCCUUUUGAAUGCAAGAGUACAAGCGGGCUUGACUGCGAGGCCCACAAGCCGAGCAGGUGCGAAAGCAGGCUCUAGUGAUCCGGCGGCCCCGAGUGGGUGGGCCGUCGCUCAACGGAUAAAAGGUACUCCGGGGAUAACAGGCUGAUCUUGCCCAAGAGUCCACAUCGACGGCAAGGUUUGGCACCUCGAUGUCGGCUCAUCGCAUCCUGGGGCUGGAGCAGGUCCCAAGGGUACGGCUGUUCGCCGUUUAAAGCGGUACGCGAGCUGGGUUCAGAACGUCGUGAGACAGUUCGGUCCCUAUCCUCCGUGGGCGCAGGAGAAUCGAUGGAGGCUGCCCCCAGUACGAGAGGACCGGGGUGGACGCACCUCCGGUGAACCGGUUGUCGACCAACGGCACGGCCGGGUAGCCGCGUGCGGCGCGGAUAACCGCUGAAGGCAUCUAAGCGGGAAGCCGUUCCAGGGAUUAGUUCUCCUUCCGGUAAGGGCCCAGGUAGACUACCUGGUCGAUAGACGGCAGGUGCAAGGACGGCGACGUCCUCAGCCGAGCCGCACUAAUCGCCCGAGCUCUUCCGGA